UGUCUAGAAGAGACCUAAGAAUAGGAU
rnacentral:piRNA from 1 species